rnacentral:rRNA from 1 species
GAUGAACGCUGGCGGCGUGCCUAAUACAUGCAAGUCGAGCGAACAGACGAGGAGCUUGCUCCUUUGACGUUAGCGGCGGACGGGUGAGUAACACGUGGGUAACCUACCUAUAAGACUGGGAUAACUUCGGGAAACCGGAGCUAAUACCGGAUAAUAUUUCGAACCGCAUGGUUCGAUAGUGAAAGAUGGCUUUGCUAUCACUUAUAGAUGGACCUGCGCCGUAUUAGCUAGUUGGUAAGGUAACGGCUUACCAAGGCAACGAUACGUAGCCGACCUGAGAGGGUGAUCGGCCACACUGGAACUGAGACACGGUCCAGACUCCUACGGGAGGCAGCAGUAGGGAAUCUUCCGCAAUGGGCGAAAGCCUGACGGAGCAACGCCGCGUGAGUGAUGAAGUUCUUCGGAUCGUAAAACUCUGUUAUUAGGGAAGAACAAACGUGUAAGUAACUGUGCACGUCUUGACGGUACCUAAUCAGAAAGCCACGGCUAACUACGUG